CGGCACUCCGGAGAAUCCCGCGCACAUGCGCCGAUCCGCGCGUCGUGACGGGUGCCGAAGGUGCAAGCGUCCAUACUGAGCGAUCCGCUUUGGCGGAUAUCGGUGUCGGACGUCAAUCUCUCAGGCAAAAGGACGGAGCAGA
rnacentral:ncRNA from 1 species